AUUGAACGCUGGCGGCAUGCCUUACACAUGCAAGUCGAACGGUAACAGGUCUUCGGAUGCUGACGAGUGGCGAACGGGUGAGUAAUACAUCGGAACGUGCCUAGUAGUGGGGGAUAACUACUCGAAAGAGUGGCUAAUACCGCAUGAGAUCUACGGAUGAAAGCAGGGGAUCGCAAGACCUUGCGCUACUAGAGCGGCCGAUGGCAGAUUAGGGAGUUGGUGGGAUAAAAGCUUACCAAGCCGACGAUCUGUAGCUGGUCUGAGAGGACGAUCAGCCACACUGGGACUGAGACACGGCCCAGACUCCUACGGGAGGCAGCAGUGGGGAAUUUUGGACAAUGGGCGCAAGCCUGAUCCAGCAAUGCCGCGUGCAGGAUGAAGGCCUUCGGGUUGUAAACUGCUUUUGUACGGAACGAAAAGCCCUGGGUUAAUACCCUGGGGUCAUGACGGUACCGUAAGAAUAAGCACCGGCUAACUACGUGCCAGCAGCCGCGGUAA
rnacentral:rRNA from 1 species